GGGGUUGUAGCUCAGUGGUAGAGCGCUUGCCUAGCAGGUGUGAGGCACUGAGUUCGCUUCUCAGCACCA
rnacentral:tRNA from 1 species